AUAAGUUAUGUGCAUUAAAACUGGCCUCGUCAUUAUUAAAUGAAUUUGCUAACUGUUCAUAAAUCAUGGUUUGUUAGUAAUGUCCGACAUAUAAGGACAUCGGUAACAAUGUUUGCAUUUUUUGCUGAAUGUUUCCGCGUCUGGUAGCAGUUACGUGGUUUAAGCAAUAAACCGCGACGUUCAACGACCGUUAGACAUAUGAUUGAGUUGUACGGCGAACAUCAUGCGAAUAAGCUAUAAAAUAUCAAGUUAGUAAGAACACGUAGAGUUUACCACACGAGAAACGAUUAUAAUAACGUGAAAAA